AUUACGCCUCCCGCACGGACUCACUACGCACACCUGUUUUGAAUUAUUUGUGUUGUAUUUAAGACCACCUGCUGCCUUAGUUCCUCCUGGCUGUUUCGUUUGCUCCCGCAACAACGCGAACGCUGAUCUUGCAGCCGUGUUUGGAACUGUCAGUUUGCCCGUCUUUCUGACACGUGUGUGACGUUUGGCUGGCAUGGAGAUGGGGUGCGUUCUCUCUAGGAUGCAGUUUGGGUUCAGACACAGCGUAAGGUCAAAGGCCAGGCAGGCAAUGCCGUGAGUGUGCACGUCCUUGAGGAUCGACACAGUCUGCACAGUGUAGGAGUCCCACACACAUAUGUAAGGCUCCUUGCCCACCUGUCCAGUAGCUACCAACACACGUUCAGGAUGUAGAGCUAGACUGUAAAGAGAGGAGAAAAGGAAAAAUAACAUAAUAUCAGCGUUGUCAUUUUUGCAUGCCCUUUAUUUGUACUGUGAGAGCUGCAAGCAAGACAAGGAUCAACCCUUCCAGCAAAAACCACUGGGACGAGAUGAACACAUUAAGCCCGUGUUGGGACUGAAUGGGCCAAGAAGAGGGGCAGCUUGAUGUUGUGACAUGGUUGACUGAACUCGUCAUGCUCAUACACACAGACACACAAACACGCACGCAUGCACGUACACACAUGCACACGCACAUACACACAUAGCAUUGCUAAAUGGGUGGCUGAAGGAUAGUCACAGAGUCUAAUAAAUGAUUAUGUUUCAGUCACAUAAAUCAAAUAGUCUCAUUUGAUUAACACAGUACUGUGAAAAACUCAUGAGCAUCAUUCGCUCUGUUGUUUUAGCCGCCCAUGAUUACAAUCAUAUAUAACCGGAAUGUCACUAGAGCUCCACCAACGUCAAAAGGGAAAGUAAAAAGUAUUGUAUGUGUUUUUGCUGGUCCAUGUGUUUGUAAGUUAGCAUGUUUCUUUUUGGUUCAUGAAGGAUGAUAAGAAGACAAGUGAUGCUAUUAUAAUUCUGAGAAAUGUACGGUUUCACUGUUGCCAUAGUGAUGGUGAAAAUAAAAUCUUGUAUCCGCACUUUAA